CUCACUGGUCGAGUCGGCCUGCGCGGAAGAUGUAACGGGGCUAAACCAUGCACCGAAGCUGCGGCAGCGACGCUUAUGCGUUGUUGGGUAGGGGAGCGUUCUGUAAGCCUGUGAAGGUGUGUCGUGAGGCAUGCUGGAGGUAUCAGAAGUGCGAAUGCUGACAUAAGUAACGAUAAAGCGGGUGAAAAGCCCGCUCGCCGGAAGACCAAGGGUUCCUGUCCAACGUUAAUCGGGGCAGGGUGAGUCGACCCCUAAGGCGAGGCCGAAAGGCGUAGUCGAUGGGAAACGGGUUAAUAUUCCCGUACUUGGUGUUACUGCGAAGGGGGGACGGAGAAGGCUAUGUUGGCCGGGCGACGGUUGUCCCGGUUUAAGCGUGUAGGUGUGUGUUCCAGGUAAAUCCGGUUCACUUUAACACUGAGGCGUGAUGACGAGGCACUACGGUGCUGAAGUAACAAAUGCCCUGCUUCCAGGAAAAGCCUCUAAGCAUCAGGUAACAUCAAAUCGUACCCCAAACCGACACAGGUGGUCAGGUAGAGAAUACCAAGGCGCUUGAGAGAACUCGGGUGAAGGAACUAGGCAAAAUGGUGCCGUAACUUCGGGAGAAGGCACGCUGACACGUAGGUGAAGUGAUUUACUCACGGAGCUGAAGUCAGUCGAAGAUACCAGCUGGCUGCAACUGUUUAUUAAAAACACAGCACUGUGCAAACACGAAAGUGGACGUAUACGGUGUGACGCCUGCCCGGUGCCGGAAGGUUAAUUGAUGGGGUCAGCGCAAGCGAAGCUCCUGAUCGAAGCCCCGGUAAACGGCGGCCGUAACUAUAACGGUCCUAAGGUAGCGAAAUUCCUUGUCGGGUAAGUUCCGACCUGCACGAAUGGCGUAAUGAUGGCCAGGCUGUCUCCACCCGAGACUCAGUGAAAUUGAACUCGCUGUGAAGAUGCAGUGUACCCGCGGCAAGACGGAAAGACCCCGUGAACCUUUACUAUAGCUUGACACUGAACAUUGAGCCUUGAUGUGUAGGAUAGGUGGGAGGCUUUGAAGUGUGGACGCCAGUCUGCAUGGAGCCGACCUUGAAAUACCACCCUUUAAUGUUUGAUGUUCUAACGUGGACCCGUUACCCGGGUUGCGGACAGUGUCUGGUGGGUAGUUUGACUGGGGCGGUCUCCUCCUAAAGAGUAACGGAGGAGCACGAAGGUUGGCUAAUCCUGGUCGGACAUCAGGAGGUUAGUGCAAUGGCAUAAGCCAGCUUGACUGCGAGCGUGACGGCGCGAGCAGGUGCGAAAGCAGGUCAUAGUGAUCCGGUGGUUCUGAAUGGAAGGGCCAUCGCUCAACGGAUAAAAGGUACUCCGGGGAUAACAGGCUGAUACCGCCCAAGAGUUCAUAUCGACGGCGGUGUUUGGCACCUCGAUGUCGGCUCAUCACAUCCUGGGGCUGAAGUAGGUCCCAAGGGUAUGGCUGUUCGCCAUUUAAAGUGGUACGCGAGCUGGGUUUAGAACGUCGUGAGACAGUUCGGUCCCUAUCUGCCGUGGGCGCUGGAGAACUGAGGGGGGCUGCUCCUAGUACGAGAGGACCGGAGUGGACGCAUCACUGGUGUUCGGGUUGUCAUGCCAAUGGCACUGCCCGGUAGCUAAAUGCGGAAGAGAUAAGUGCUGAAAGCAUCUAAGCACGAAACUUGCCCCGAGAUGAGUUCUCCCUGAGACUUUAGGUCUCCUGAAGGAACGUUGAAGACGACGACGUUGAUAGGCCGGGUGUGUAAGCGCAGCGAUGCGUUGAGCUAACCGGUACUAAUGAACCGUGAGGCUUAACCUUACAACGCCG
rnacentral:rRNA from 1 species